rnacentral:rRNA from 1 species
UACGAAUGGGGCAAGCGUUGUUCGGAAUCACUGGGCUUAAAGCGUGCGCAGGCGGAUAUGAAAGUCAGGAGUGAAAUCCCGGGGCUCAACCCCGGAAUUGCUUUUGAAACUUCAUAUCUAGAAUCCGGUAGAGGUUGGGAGAAUUCCUAGUGUAGAGGUGAAAUUCGCAGAUAUUAGGAGGAAUACCAGUGGCGUAGGCGCCCAACUGGACCGGUAUUGACGCUCAGGCACGAAAGCGUGGGGAGCAAACAGG